CCUACGGGCGGCAGCAGUCGAGAAUCAUUCACAAUGGGGGAAACCCUGAUGGUGCGACGCCGCGUGGGGGAAUGAAGGUCUUCGGAUUGUAAACCCCUGUCAUGUGGGAGCAAAUUAAAAAGAUAGUACCACAAGAGGAAGAGACGGCUAACUCUGUGCCAGCAGCCGCGGUAAUACAGAGGUCUCAAGCGUUGUUCGGAAUCACUGGGCGUAAAGCGUUCGUAGGCUGUUUCGUAAGUCGUGUGUGAAAGGCGCGGGCUCAACCCGCGGACGGCACAUGAUACUGCGAGACUAGAGUAAGGGAGGGGGAACCGGAAUUCUCGGUGUAGCAGUGAAAUGCGUAGAUAUCGAGAGGAACACUCGUGGCGAAGGCGGGUUCCUGGACAUUAACUGACGCUGAGGCACGAAGGCCAGGGGAGCGAAAGGGAUUAGAUACCCUUGUAGUC
rnacentral:rRNA from 1 species